GACGUGGCGUCCUCGGCGUGCGCUGGGGGUGCAGGCGCGCGAGGUUCAGUGAGCCCUUAGGGCUUUGCCGGGUGAUUUUUUAGGGAGCUGGUUCUCAGGCCCUGCUCUCCUCGAGCGAGAAUCGGGGUGGGAAAGGAUAAAUGUACCUAUUAAAUUAAAUCAAUGGAUAUUCAGCACCAGAUAAUAGCCAUGUUGGAUGCUGGAAAUAAAAAGACCAAGAUGCAAGAUGCCUGCUUUCAAGGAGUUAAUGAUUCGCUGAGCACUCAUCAUUGACUGAUGGUUGUCUUUGUUUCCUUGGCUGCUGUCUCACCGCACUAGAUGGUAAGUUUCAAAGGCCAAGGGUG